rnacentral:rRNA from 1 species
AUUGAACGCUGGCGGCAGGCCUAACACAUGCAAGUCGAGCGGCAGCGGGAAAGUAGCUUGCUACUUUUGCCGGCGAGCGGCGGACGGGUGAGUAAUGCCUGGGGAUCUGCCCAGUCGAGGGGGAUAACUACUGGAAACGGUAGCUAAUACCGCAUACGCCCUACGGGGGAAAGCAGGGGACCUUCGGGCCUUGCGCGAUUGGAUGAACCCAGGUGGGAUUAGCUAGUUGGUGAGGUAACGGCGCACCAAGGCGACGAUCACUAGCUGGUCUGAGGGGAGGAUCAGCCACACUGGAACUGAGACACGGUCCAGACUCCUACGGGAGGCAGCAGUGGGGAAUAUUGCACAAUGGGGGAAACCCUGAUGCAGCCAUGCCGCGUGUGUGAAGAAGGCCUUCGGGUUGUAAAGCACUUUCAGCGAGGAGGAAAGGUCAGUAGCUAAUAUCUGCUGGCUGUGACGUUACUCGCAGAAGAAGCACCGGCUAACUCCGUGCCAGCAGCCGCGGUAA